rnacentral:rRNA from 1 species
UCUGUAAAGCUCCUUCGACGAGUCGAGUAGUUUGGGAAUGCUGCUCUAAAUGGGAGGUAUAUGUCUUCUAAAGCUAAAUACCGGCCAGAGACCGAUAGCGCACAAGUAGAGUGAUCGAAAGAUGAAAAGAACUUUGAAAAGAGAGUUAAAAAGUACGUGAAAUUGUUGAAAGGGAAGCGCUUGUGACCAGACUUGGGCUUGGUUGAUCAUCCGGGGUUCUCCCCGGUGCACUCUUCCGGCCCAGGCCAGCAUCAGUUCGCCCUGGGGGACAAAGGCUUCGGGAACGUGGCUCUCUCCGGGGAGUGUUAUAGCCCGUUGCGUAAUACCCUGUGGCGGACUGAGGUUCGCGCAUUCGCAAGGAUGCUGGCGUAAUGGUCAUCAGUGACCCGUCUUGAAACACGGACCAAGGAGUCGUCUUCGUAUGCGAGUGUUCGGGUGUCAAACCCCUACGCGAAAUGAAAGUGAACGCAGGUGAGAGCUUCGGCGCAUCAUCGACCGAUCCUGAUGUUAUCGGAUGGAUUUGAGUAAGAGCAUACGGGGCCGGACCCGAAAGAAGGUGAACUAUGCCUGUGUAGGGUGAAGCCAGAGGAAACUCUGGUGGAGGCUCGCAGCGGUUCUGACGUGCAAAU